UACGAAGGGGGCUAGCGUUGCUCGGAAUCACUGGGCGUAAAGCGCACGUAGGCGGAUUGUUAAGUCAGGGGUGAAAUCUUGGAGCUUAACUCCGAAACUGCAUUCGAUACUGCCGUGCUUGAGGACUGGAGAGGAGACUGGAAUUUACGGUGUAGCGGUGAAAUGCGUAGAUAUCGUAAGGAAGACCAGUGGCGAAGGCGGGUCUCUGGACAGUUCCUGACGCUGAGGCACGAAGGUCAGGGGAGCAAACGGG
rnacentral:rRNA from 1 species